UAUAGCUCAGCGGCACAGUGCCUGCCUGGCAAGCAUGAGGUCCUGAGUUUGAGUCCCAGUA
rnacentral:tRNA from 1 species